GGGGAGAAACUACCUAGAGAAGUCAGAUGGGAAUCUAUAACUCUCAUCUGAGAGAGAUUAUACUAACAUACAAAGUGAAAUGUCGUUCAAUUAAGUAGGGCUUAAAUGGCAACCCGGAAACAUAAGGUGACAGGAGCCAACGAAUUUGAGAGGCUUGCUGCCGUCGCCAAGCUGGUCCUGGUGUUGCCCCAUUCCAACGCAGACGCUGAGAGGGUGUUUUCAAUUGUGGGACUGAACAAAACCAAGACCAGAAACAGCCUAGCAUUGGAUGGCCCCCUGUCCUCAAUAAUGACCAUAAAGAUGGCCGACCUGGAGCCCUGUUUCAAAUGGGACCCCCCCUCAGAUGUCCUCAAGCUUGGUCUGGCCGCGUCGGAAACCCUUUGAGGAAGAAAAUAUUCCUCACAGAACAGCUGGUCUCCAAACAUCCCAACACAGACGUUAUUCAUGACAUCCCAAGCACACAGCGCUCUCGAGACCUUUUCCCGUCACCUCACCUUCCAACAGUAGAUCAUUGUUCAGUGGAUACUCAAUGCUACAACAUUUGGCCUCAUAUUUGUAAUGCGACUCAAACAAGAACUGGACUGAUAUUGCUUUAACGGAGAAAAGCACAGAGAGCCAGAGUGGUGGCUGUGUUUUACCCUCCCUUCAAAUAGGACUCUUGUCUUGGAGGCAGAGAUAGGCCUUUUGCGUCGGUCCUGACGCUGCUGUGCGCUUUGGGCUUCCUGCAUUGAUUGAAUAUAUCGAUUGUACUAACGAAGGGACAGCACACUAUUCACUUUGACGGCAUGAAUUGAGCUUGUGUAAUUAUGUGUCAUUGUGUUGUUGUCGCUGUAUUUUAGCGUGACAAGGAACCACAGUUCAACAGACAGGGAAAUUACUGGCUGUGAAUACGAUGCG
ensembl:lncRNA